AGGACGAACGCUGGCGGUGUGCUUCACACAUGCAAGUCGAACGGGGUAGCAAUACCCAGUGGCGGACGGGUGAGUAACGCGUGGGAAUCUGCCUAAAAAUGGGGGAUAGCUGGCCGAAAGGCUAAUUAAUACCGCAUAGGCCUAUAUUUCGACAGUUUUAUAGGUUAAAGGAGUAAUCCGUUUUUAGAUGAGCCCGCGUCCGAUUAGCUAGUUGGUAGGGUAAAGGCCUACCAAGGCUACGAUCGGUAGGUGGCCCGAGAGGGCGAUCACCCACAAUGGAACUGAGACACGGUCCAUACUCCUACGGGAGGCAGCAGUGGGGAAUUUUACGCAAUGGGCGAAAGCCUGACGUAGCGACACCGCGUGAACGAAGAAGCCUUUUGGGGUGUAAAGUUCUGUCGGCUGGGAAGAAAAAAAUGACGGUACCAGCAAAGGAAGCAUCGGCUAACUACGUGCCAGCAGCCGC
rnacentral:rRNA from 1 species